UACGAAGGGGGCUAGCGUUGCUCGGAAUCACUGGGCGUAAAGCGCACGUAGGCGGACUCUUAAGUCGGUGGUGAAAUCCUGGAGCUCAACUCCAGAACUGCCUUCGAUACUGAGAGUCUCGAGUCCGGGAGAGGUGAGUGGAACUGCGAGUAUAGAGGUGAAAUUCGUAGAUAUUCGCAAGAACACCAGUGGCGAAGGCGGCUCACUGGCCCGGUACUGACGCUGAGGUGCGAAAGCGUGGGUAGCGAACAGG
rnacentral:rRNA from 1 species